UUUAUUGCGGCGCGUAACGAUCCAAGGAAACAAAAUAUUUUAUAUUAUUAAAUUCGCAACGAGACUGAAUAUGAAAGAGUUAUGAAUAUUUACGUGAUAGCAACGAUCUGUAUUAUGUACGGGGUUUCUGCUGACUUUCAAAUGCUUGGUAUGAUGUCUGUGGAAAUUGUAGCUGGAAAUGUGUAUAAUGAAGAUGCCAACAGUAUUUUAAAGAAUAAUUAUGAAGGAUCGAAUCAUUCUAAGCCGGUGUAUCGUGUUGAAGCUGGAGAUGAUGGUAAAGAGACGCUUACGAUAGAUGUGGAAUGUAUGUUCAAGUAUCCUGAAGAGAAACACUUGGACGCGUUACUCAGUGCUAUAUUGAAUCUAUUGACUAAGAUGUUUGUCCGUGUAUACGAAUCACAGGAGGAGGUUCAACGAACUGCUACUAGAUUCCGCGUCGUACAAAAGAUUGACUCUCCAUACUUUGAUCAAGCUUACACACGCUUGUCUGAGGAAUUGAGAUUACUCUACAACACCACGUUAAUGUCCCUCAAUACAAGAGGUAACCCUUGCCAGCAUCAAGACGACAUCAAAUCACUUUGGAGAGAUAUACUGCAGCGUUCAGAACAGAAACUGCAAGAUGCUGUACAGAACUGUACUGAAGAGCUCUUACACGCUAGAGGAAAAGACUCCAGGCUGAACAAAGAAACAAAUACUUUCAACGAACUAUCCAACGUACGUAUAUUCAUCAUCAUCAUAAUCAUCAGCCGGAAGACGUCCACUACUGAACAAAGGCGUCCACUACAAAACGCGGGAAACGUUAUACGCCCAAAUCAAUCAAUGAAACCAGCACAGUUCACCUGUUCUUCAUAAAACCCGCCGAUACCAUAACUGUUGAACCUGUAUAAAGUAUGGGUGAACUUCCUGAAUGGACCUGAGCCUUUCAGUAUUUCGGAGCCGACGGUACACUCGCACCCUUCUUGUAUCAGGCUUAAACCCGAAUCGCGACUCAUCGGAAAACAUAAUUUUAUCCCAUUAUUCCAGGAUCCAUAUUCUGCAUUCUCUACACCAUUCAUUUUGACGAGCGCGAUUCCCGUGACGUACCGGUAGGCACCUAAUUGGGCAUCGAGCUCGAAGGCCGUACUCAUGCAGGCGAUUUCGCACAGUUUGGGAACUUACAUCAACACCACUUGCAUU